UGGAUCCUACGACAUGUUUAGAGAAAAAAAGAAAAAUCAUUCCCCACUUCUCCUCUCUUUGGUUGUUUCCCCAACACCACUUAAUCUUAAUAGCCUUCAUCUCAUCUUCUUCUUCUGUCCUCUAGGGUUAGCUCCAUUCACAGUUCACAGCUAGCAUAACUACCAUCUCCCAUCACCACGAGCAACACCAUCAGGGUUCGGAAUUGAUUCCUCCGAAAAUAUCUUAAAUCGCAGGAAAAAACAUAAAGGGUAUUUUUCAAUUUUCAGAAAUGGAGAUAAAGCUCCUUCUGCGGAUAAUGAGGUUAUGAAGAGUUUAAAAUAUUUAGAUCCUGGGAAAUCAGGGAAAUAUAAAGGGAUACAUGUUCCUGGAAGAUAACUUGAAGGCGAUGAUCAAGCCUCAUUAUGUGGAUCACAUCCCAAAAGAAGUGCAAGGAAUGUUGUGCAAGUUCUGGAAUAGAAUGAUGAGAGAGAGGUGAAAGAGGAACUCUGUCGUGAGCUUAAUCAGGUUAUAGAUCGAAACGUCGGUCAUUUGUCAGGUGGAGAGAUGCAAAGAUUUGCUAUUUCUGUGGUUGCCAUACAUAAUGCAGAGAUUUUUAUGUUUGACGAGCCUUCCAGUUAUCUUGAUGUGAGACCAAGGCUUAAAGCUUCCCAAGUUAUCCGAUCAUUGCUCAGGACAAAUAGGCUGGUCUCUUGAAGUCAGAUGAAGUGGAGAGUUCAUAUGCAGAAAUACCUGAAUUCAAUGUUUCUUACAAGCCCCAGAAGAUUAGUCCAAAGUUUCAAGCUUCUGUCAAGGGCUUGCUGCAUCAAAAGAUCCGGGAUUCAUAUAUGCAUCCUCAGUUUGUGUCAGAUGUUAUAAAACCACUCCGAAUUGAACAGUUGAUUGACCAUGAAGUGGUGAAUUUGUCAGAUGGAGAGCUGCAAUGAGUUGCAUUAUGUCUUUUCCUUGGAAAGGUUUGCAUUAUUACGUUUUGUUUGCUUUGAUCUUCAGUCACCUUUCCUUAUGGUAUUAAUAAAUUUUGCAUAUUACCACAAUAAUGAUACGAUGACCAAAAAUUGAUUUCAUUGUGACUGGAGAUUGGGCAAAGGAUUACUCUAGAUAUAUGUCUCAAGAUGGAGUGGAGAUGACACAUCUGCUUUACCACCAUGGAUAUGGAUAUGCACCCUAUGGCGCUUAUAGUCCAGCACGUUCUCCUGUUCCUACCAUGGGACAUGAUGGACUGUACGGGCCUCAGCACUACCAGUAUCCUAUUCCUUACUAUCAAUCACCAACACCACCUCCCAGAGACUGUAUUCAUCUAACCAAACUUCUGCUGCGCCAACAGAUGUUCCCACUACUGUUGCUGCAUACCAGGCCCCUGCGUCAGUAGAAGCCGUUAAUGGAAAUGUUAAUGGUGUCUCGAAAAUCGAAAGCAAGUGCUGGUGGAAACAACAAUAAUGGGGCUGCACCUGUAAAAUCUGCCAAUUCCAAACUCUUAUGGGAGAGGCAAGCCUUCUCAAGAAUUAGAGAAAAUGGAUUUUGAAAAGAUUCCAAAAUUCAAAGCUGGGUCAUUGAAUAAAAAGAUUUUUGAGAACAAAGGAGGCUUGGGAUGUAACUCAACAUCAGGUGACAAAGCCUUGGAAGUUCCACUUUGCAAUUGAUGAAAGGAUUCAUUCUGCAAGAACAGUUUUUGAGUUGUUUGACAAGCCACUUCCAACUUCCAAGACUCACAACACAAAACCCAUUUCAUCUCCACAAAUAGCUGUAAAGUCUUCCACAUUGUCAAAGGAUAAGGCUGAGGUUAAGGGAGCUUCAAAUCCCAACAUGAGGGAGGGGAUAAUUGCUAGUGGAGAUCGUAUUUCAGAUCCUUCUAUGGAUUUCGACUUCUAGUUAUGGUUGAUAAACUAGGAAGGAUAAGACUCACAAAAUGGAUGUAAAUGCAGUACACUGGAGUUCUCAGGUUUUCAGAAAGUUGUUGCCUAUGAGUGCAAAAUUGUUCAAGGUGUGCUCAGCCAUCAGCUCAAGCAGUUUGGAAACAAGGUUGUACUCAGUGUUCCUGAAACCACAGUUGAUGAUGCAGAAUUCCACGAGAAUGAUGUUUAUGCAAUUGCUAUGGAGUAAAUCAUUUUGCUGGUUAACUGAACUUGUCUUCCAACUUAUUGUUAGUUAGGACUUAAACUUAUAUUGGUAUGAACUCAGAAUUUAAACCCUUUUUUGUGUAAUUUGAACCGAAUGAAUCAAUGAAUGUUAAAUGGAAAAAUUAUUUGAGUUUGCCGGUGCAAGUUUGAUUUGAUUCUCAUU